GACGAGGGGGGCAAGCGUUAUUCGGAAUUACUGGGCGUAAAGAGCGUGUAGGUGGCUUAUUAAGUCAGAUGUUAAAUCGCACAGCCUAACUGUGUGGCGGCAUGUGAUACUGAUAAGCUAGAGGGCAAGAGAGAGGAGUGGAAUUCUCGGAGUAGCGGUUAAAUGCGUGGAUCUCGAGAGGAACACCGAUGGCGAAGGCAGCUCCUUGGCUUGCAACUGACACUAAAGCGCGAAGGCGUGGGGAGCAAACAGG
rnacentral:rRNA from 1 species